AAACAGAUUGGUGUCAAAACGUGCAAUAAAGUUGUUGCAUCUUUGUUUACUGUUGUGUUGAGCUGGAAAUACUGGCAGUAGAAUCAGGGUCUAUCGUCCAUGACUGACCUCUUUGGUUAGAAGUAGCACAUGGCCUGCAUGCAUCGAGGCCACAUUGCUGAAUAUCAUGUCAUCAUGUGGCAAUGAGUCAAAAUUGGUUUCAUUCACUUCUUUAAUACAAAUAAAAAAUUUGGAAGAAAAAGGAAGAUUUCAUCUGGUUCAUUCAUCUGUUUCCAG
rnacentral:misc_RNA from 1 species